GGGGGCAUAGCUCAGCUGGGAGAGCAGCAGACUGAAGUAGCAUAUAUGUCCGAAUUCUGAAGGUCCCGCGUUCGAUCCGCGGUGCCCCCA